GUUUCUAUAGUUGAAUAACAACGAUGAUUUUUCAUG
rnacentral:tRNA from 1 species